UGGGGAAUAUUGCACAACGGGCGAAAGCCUGAUGCAGCAACGCCGCGUGAGUGAUGAAGGCCUUCGGGUUGUAAAGCUCUGUCUUUUGGGACGAUAAUGACGGUACCAAAGGAGGAAGCCACGGCUAACUACGUGCCAGCAGCCGCGGUAAUACGUAGGUGGCAAGCGUUGUCCGGAUUUACUGGGCGUAAAGGAUGCGUAGGCGGAUUUUUAAGUGAGAUGUGAAAACCCUAAGCUUAACUUGGGGACUGCAUUUCAUACUGGAAAUCUAGAGUGCGGGAGGGGAGAAUGGAAUUCCUAGUGUAGCGGUGAAAUGCGUAGAGAUUAGGAAGAACACCAGUGGCGAAGGCGAUUCUCUGGACCGUAACUGACGCUGAGGCAUGAAAGCGUGGGUAGCAAACAGGAUUAGAUACCCUGGUAGUCCACGCCGUAAACGAUGAGUACUAGGUGUAGGAGGUAUCGACCCCUUCUGUGCCGCAGUUAACACAAUAAGUACUCCGCCUGGGAAGUACGAUCGCAAGAUUAAAAACUU
rnacentral:rRNA from 1 species